AUGCUUAAUUGGCUGAGUCGGUUCAUGGUCAUUAAAGCGAUAGCCAGAGGGCUUCUUUAUCUCCACCAAGAUUCAAGAUUAACAAUAGUUCAUCGAGAUCUCAAAGCAAGAAACAUCUUGUUGGAUGCGCAAAUUAGUCCUAAAAUAUCUGAUUUUGGUAUGGCAAGGAUCUUUGGAGGAAAAGAGCAACAAGCAAACACUAAACGGGUUAUUGGGACAUAUGGUUACAUGUCUCCUGAAUAUGCGAUGGAAGGCAGCUUUUUUGUCAAGUCUGACACCUACAGCUUUGGGAUUUUGCUGUUGGAGAUUGUAAGCGGGUUAUAG
rnacentral:rRNA from 1 species